AGCUAACUCAUGGUACAGGGCUACAAGGAAGAUGAGAAGUUAUGGCUUCUUAUUGAAGAACCCAUCUCAAAAAUCAUCACAGCAACAAGCUCAGUUGUUUCCUAAUGUGAGCAAGUGCGGUUUGGAGAAUAGAGGGUCUGAUACAUUGGUGUGUGAUAUUCACGGGGGCUUGUUAAGAACCCGCUCUUUCUUUCCUUAUUUCAUGCUAGUUGCUUUCGAAGGUGGUAGCAUUUUUAGAGCAUUUUUGCUGUUGCUAUCAUGUCUCCUUUCGUGGGUUUUGGACUAUGAGCUCCAGUUAAGGGUCAUGAUCUUCAUCACCUUCUGUGGGCUCAAGAUAACGGAUAUUGAGAGUGUUGGUAGGGCAGUUUUGCCAAAGUUUUAUCUAGAGAAUCUUCAUCUUCAGGCUUAUGAGUUGUUGGCUUCAACAGGAACUAGGAUUGUUUUCACAAGCGUCCCUAGGGUGAUGGUGGAAGGAUUUCUUAAGGAAUAUUUGAGGGUUAACAAAGUGAUGGGUACAGAGUUGCACACUGUUGGAAGUUACUUCACUGGUUUGUUGUCUAAUUCUGGUUUACUAGUAAAGCACAGAGCUCUCAAGGAUUAUUUUGGAGAAAAAACGCCUGAGAUAGGCCUUGGAAGUUCAAGCCUCCCUGACCGUCUCUUCAUCUCUCUUUGCAAGGAAGCCUAUGUGGUGUACAAAGAAGAAAACAAGAACAGUGAGAGUAGUUCAGUAAUGACAAGGGACAAAUACCCAAAGCCACUUAUAUUUCAUGAUGGUAGGCUAGCUUUCUUGCCCACUCCAUUAGCAGCUCUAUUAAUGUUUAUGUGGCUUCCCCUUGGAAUAAUUCUCGCCAUCUUCAGACUCCUUGUUGGUAUUUUCCUUCCUUACAAAUUAGCUUUAUUUAUGGGCAUUCAAAGUGGAGUAGAGCUGAAGAUCAAAAUGUGCUACCCUCAUGCAAAAAGUUCAGGCCACAAAAGGGGUGUCCUCUACGUUUGCACCCAUAGGACACUAUUGGACCCAGUUUUUCUCAGCCUAUCUUUAGGUAAACCAUUGACUGCUGUGACAUAUAGCCUGAGCAAGAUGUCUGAAAUAAUAGCACCAAUUAGAACAGUGAGGUUGACCAGAGACAGAGAACGAGAUGGGGAGACCAUGCAAAGAUUGUUAAGUGAAGGUGACUUGGUGGUUUGUCCUGAGGGGACCACUUGUAGAGAGCCAUAUUUGUUGAGAUUUAGUUCACUGUUUGCAGAGUUAGCUGAUGAGAUAGUCCCUGUGGCCGUCAAUACUCGUGUAAGCAUGUUUUAUGGGACAACUGCUCGUGGUUUGAAAUGCUUGGAUCCAAUUUUCUUCUUUAUGAACCCUAGACCUUGCUACCAAAUUCAUAUCCUUGACAAGUUACCCAUAGAGCUCACUUGUGCUGGGGGAAGAUCUAGCUUUGAAGUGGCAAAUUAUAUCCAAAGACUGUUGGCUGAUGCUUUGGGAUUUGAGUGCACUACUCUUACAAGGAAAGAUAAGUAUAUGAUGCUAGCAGGCAAUGAAGGUGUUGUCCAGGGUAAUAAUAGGAAAACCUAGAUAUUUUUCAUAUUAUAUUAUUAACGAAUCAACCUUUACGCAUUUAUGGGCUUCCAUUUUAGAUAUUUUCUUUUUCGUUUUUUAUUUUUGUUAUUAUGAUGCUUUAUAUGAUUAGUUACCGUAUAAUUAGUUAAUAUAUUCUUUGGCAUGGUCAUUUUUGU
rnacentral:misc_RNA from 1 species